UCUUAUGAAGUUAGCGGCGGACGGGUGAGUAACACGUGUACUGCCCAUAAGACUGGGAUAACUCCGGGAAACCGGGGCUAAUACCGGAUAACAUUUUGAACUGCAUGGUUCGAAAUUGAAGGCGGUUCGGCUGUCACUUAUGGAUGGACCCGCGUCGCAUUAGCUAGUUGGUGAGGUAACGGCUCACCAAGGCAACGAUGCGUAGCCGACCUGAGAGGGUGAUCGGCCACACUGGGACUGAGACACGGCCCAGACUCCUACGGGAGGCAGCAGUAGGGAAUCUUCCGCAAUGGACGAAAGUCUGACGGAGCAACGCCGCGUGAGUGAUGAAGGCUUUCGGGUCGUAAAACUCUGUUGUUAGGGAAGAACAAGUGCUAGUUGAAUAAGCUGGCACCUUGGACGGUACCUAACCAGAAAGCCACGGCUAACUACGUGCCAGCAGCCGCGGUAAUACGUAGUGGCAAGCGUUAUCCGGAAUUAUUGGGCAUAAAGCGCGCGCAGGUGGUUUCUUAAGUCUGAUGUGAAAGCCCACGGUCAACCGUGGAGGGUCAUUCGGGAAACUGGGAGACUUUGAGUGGCAGAAGAGGAAAGUGGAAUUCC
rnacentral:rRNA from 1 species